AUUGAACGCUGGCGGCAUGCCUAACACAUGCAAGUCGAACGAAGCCUUCGGGCUUAGUGGCGCACGGGUGCGUAACGCGUGGGAAUCUGCCCCUUGCUUCGGAAUAACAGUUAGAAAUGACUGCUAAUACCGGAUGAUGUCUUCGGACCAAAGAUUUAUCGGCAAGGGAUGAGCCCGCGUAGGAUUAGGUAGUUGGUGGGGUAAAGGCCUACCAAGCCGACGAUCCUUAGCUGGUCUGAGAGGAUGAUCAGCCACACUGGGACUGAGACACGGCCCAGACUCCUACGGGAGGCAGCAGUGGGGAAUAUUGGACAAUGGGCGAAAGCCUGAUCCAGCAAUGCCGCGUGAGUGAUGAAGGCCUUAGGGUUGUAAAGCUCUUUUACCAGGGAUGAUAAUGACAGUACCUGGAGAAUAAGCUCCGGCUAACUCCGUGCCAGCAGCCGCCGUAAUAC
rnacentral:rRNA from 1 species